CUAUCCACGCAAUUUGAUUUUUGUUACGGUAUCACACUAACACAGUCACAAGGAUUUAAAUCGUGCCCCUACAACUCCGUAAGCCUAUUAUAAAGGUGGUUUUCUUUCUUUUCUUUUCUUUUCUUUUCUUUCUGGGAGGAUUCUUUGGUGUGUUUCGUUCAUACGAAAAAUCCUAUACGGUCACACAAAAUUUCUCCGAGACGUACUGCUU
rnacentral:lncRNA from 1 species